rnacentral:rRNA from 1 species
CGCGGUAAUUCCCAGCCUCCAAAAAGCGUAUAUUAAAGUUGUUGUGGUUAAAAAGCUCGUAGUAGAACCUUGGGCCUGGCUGGCCGGUCCGCCUCACCGCGUGCACUGGUCCGGCCGGGCCUUUCCCCCUGUGGAACCUCAUCCCCUUCACUGGGUGUGUGGGAAAACAGGACUUUUACUUUGAAAAAAUUAGAGUGCUCCAGGCAGGCCUAUGCUCGAAUACAUUAGCAUGGAAUAAUAGAAUAGGACGUGUGGUUCUAUUUUGUUGGUUUCUAGGACCGCCGUAAUGAUUAAUAGGGACAGUCGGGGGCAUCAGUAUUCAAUUGUCAGAGGUGAAAUUCUUGGAUUUAUUGAAGACUAACUACUGCGAAAGCAUUUGCCAAGGAUGUUUUCAUUUAUCAGGAACGAAAGUUAGGGGAUCGAAGACGAUCAGAUACCGUCGUAGUCUUAACCAUAAACUAUGCCGACUAGGGAUCGGACGAUGUUAUUUUUUGACUCGUUCGGCACCUUACGAGAAAUCAAAGUGCUUGGG